rnacentral:rRNA from 1 species
UGGGGAAUAUUGGACAAUGGAGGCAACUCUGAUCCAGCAAUUCUGUGUGUGUGAAGAAGGUUUUAGGACUGUAAAACACUUUUAGUAGGGAAGAAAGAAAUGACGGUACCUACAGAAGAAGCGACGGCUAAAUACGUGCCAGCAGCCGCGGUAAUACGUAUGUCGCGAGCGUUAUCCGGAAUUAUUGGGCUUAAAGGGCAUCUAGGCGGUUAAACAAGUUGAAGGUGAAAACCUGUGGCUCAACCAUAGGCUUGCCUACAAAACUGUUGAACUAGAGUACUGGAAAGGUGGGUGGAACUACACGAGUAGAGGUGAAAUUCGUAGAUAUGUGUAGGAAUGCCGAUGAUGAAGAUAACUCACUGGACAGAAACUGACGCUGAAGUGCGAAAGCUAGGGGAGCAAACAGG